AUGUGGGGGGGACUGAUCCAACAAGCGUUCACACACACACACACACACACACACACACACACGAGGUGUCGAGCAGCAGCGGCUGCUUUGCUCGAGGUCGAGUCGUGUUUCUGUGUCCCGUGGCGUUGGCGAUUGUGCUUUGCGUGUCUGGUGAAACCAGACCGUGGCGCCCGUAUUGAUGCGCUUCAAACACAUCGGCUCUUAAAACACACACAACUUUUGACCCGCAACUUUGAAGCACGCGGAGACAGUUCUUUUUUUUUUUUUGCCCGCGGCUGGAAUCUCGGGCGUUUGUUCUUGCAAAGACGCGGAUAAAGAGAAUUAUUAAUAGUAUCAUCAUGAAUAGUUUUAAGUGGAUUUUAAACUGUUUUUUAUGGGCUUUUCUGAAACAGACAAGAACAAAACUGUGAGUGAAGCACAGCCUUUUGUUACAAAGAUGUUUGUUUUGGUGAUUUCCUCUGAAUGUUAACCUCAUGAGACAAACCACCAAGUGGAGUUAGUCACACAGGCCCAGUUCAUUUCCACAGAAUAUCCGCUGCUGGUGAUCCAAAAACUGCCGGGUCGUUUAAAAUCAACCUGCAGGCCUCUUUAAGUCGGUCCACCACUCAUUUUCCUCCCCACUCGCGUUCCCACAGUCCAGUCUGCAGCAUCUGGGAAUGUUUAGAGCGUUUCGCCGGCGCCCCCCCCUCCUCUUUUCCUCAUGUGCCUGCAGCCUGGUACGGUCCGCCCCGACAGGAGGGGAUGGAUCCAUGGAUUUGUUAUAUAUGACGGGCCUCUGAAAUCCACCUGGGGCGGAAAACUCAAACUUGAGAUGUUCAUAACGAAGGCCAAAUAACAACGGCGGGAACCCACAGAACGACUCCCGCCUUUAAUAACGGCCGCGGAGGGCCGAGCGCCCUCGCUAGUUGCCUGCUGUGCGUCCUCCGCUAACGGGGGGAAAAAAUCCCCAGAUGUGCCGAAUGUUCACUGAUGUCUGAACUCGAGCGUCCGUCGGCCCGCCGAGCGCCAUGCGAAGGCUCGUGGGCGCACGCCACGGAGGAACGGCAGAAUGCGAAGCCACUUACUAACGAGGUGUCGGAUUACCUCAUUAAACCUUUAUCUGGCGAGACAAAGUGAGCCCUCUUUUCACAGCGGCUCCGGGCUGCGCG
ensembl:lncRNA